CCUACGGGAGACAGCAGUGAGGAAUAUUGGUCAAUGGGCGCGAGCCUGAACCAGCCAGGUCGCGUGAGGGAAGACGGUCCUAUGGAUUGUAAACCUCUUUUGUCGGGGCGCAACAGGCGCCACGCGUGGCGUUCCGAGCGUCUCCGAAGUACAAGCAUCGACUAACUCCGUGCCAGCAGCCGCGGUAAUACGGAGGAUGCGAGCGUUAUCCGGAUUGAUUGGGUGAAAAGGGUGCGCAGGCGGAAGAUCAAGGCAGCGGUAAAAUUGAGAGGCUCAACCUCUUCGAGCCGUUGAAACUGGUUUUCUUGAGUGAGUGAGAAGUAUGCGGAAUGCGUGGUGUAGCGGUGAAAUGCAUAGAUAUCACGCAGAACUCCGAUGGCGAAGGCAGCAUACCGGCGCUCAACUGACGCUCAUGCACGAAAGUGUGGGUAUCGAACAGGAUUAGAUACCCCUGUAGUC
rnacentral:rRNA from 1 species